GACGAACGCUGGCGGCGUGCCUAACACAUGCAAGUCGAGCGAAGUGAGUACUACGGUACGAACUUAGCGGCGGACGGGUGAGUAACGCGUGGACAAUCUACCCUGUAGACUGGGAUAACACCUCGAAAGGGGUGCUAAUACCGGAUAAUGUCGAGAAGCGGCAUCGCUUUUCGAAGAAAGGAGAGAAUCCGCUAUAGGAGGAGUCCGCGUCCCAUUAGCUAGUUGGUGAGGGUAACGGCCCACCAAGGCGACGAUGGGUAGCCGGCCUGAGAGGGUGAACGGCCACACUGGGACUGAGACACGGUCCAGACUCCUACGGGAGGCAGCAGUGGGGAAUAUUGUGCAAUGGGGGAAACCCUGACACAGCGACGCCGCGUGAGCGAAGAAGGCCUUCGGGUUGUAAAGCUCAAUAGUAUGGGAAGAUAAUGACGGUACUAUACGAAAGCCCCGGCUAACUACGUGCCAGCCGCCGCAGUAAUAC
rnacentral:rRNA from 1 species